GUGGGGAAUAUUGGACAAUGGGGGGAACCCUGAUCCAGCCAUGCCGCGUGUGUGAAGAAGGCCUUUUGGUUGUAAAGCACUUUAAGCGAGGAGGAGGCUACCGAGGUUAAUACUCUUGGAUAGUGGACGUUACUCGCAGAAUAAGCACCGGCUAACUCUGUGCCAGCAGCCGCGGUAAUACAGAGGGUGCAAGCGUUAAUCGGAUUUACUGGGCGUAAAGCGCGCGUAGGUGGCCAAUUAAGUCAAAUGUGAAAUCCCCGAGCUUAACUUGGGAAUUGCAUUCGAUACUGGUUGGCUAGAGUAUGGGAGAGGAUGGUAGAAUUCCAGGUGUAGCGGUGAAAUGCGUAGAGAUCUGGAGGAAUACCGAUGGCGAAGGCAGCCAUCUGGCCUAAUACUGACACUGAGGUGCGAAAGCAUGGGGAGCAAACAGGAUUAGAAACCCGUGUAGUCC
rnacentral:rRNA from 1 species